AGCAGAAAUUCAUGACUGAGAGAUUGCAGGUUUUCAGUCUAAAUGAUGAAGAUAUCAUUGAUAUAGCAUAAGUAUAGCAAGGGUUUGAUGGUGCAGUUCUUGAGGAAGUCUUCUUCCAGGUGGCUCAUACAAAGGUUGGCA